CACAGAAGGACCUGGAGGCUUAUUUCUGCA
rnacentral:piRNA from 1 species